rnacentral:rRNA from 1 species
AACGCGAAGAACCUUACCUGGGCUCGAAAUGUAGUGGAAUCCGGUAGAAAUAUCGGCGCCCCGCAAGGGGCCGCUAUAUAGGUGCUGCAUGGCUGUCGUCAGCUCGUGUCGUGAGAUGUUGGGUUAAGUCCCGCAACGAGCGCAACCCUUAUCUCCAGUUGCUACCAUUUAGUUGAGCACUCCGGCGAAACCGCCUCGGAUAACGGGGAGGAAGGUGGGGAUGACGUCAAGUCCUCAUGGCCUUUAUGUCCAGGGCUACACACGUGCUACAAUGGCCGGUACAAACCGCUGCAAACCCGCGAGGGGGAGCUAAUCGGAAAAAGCCGGCCUCAGUUCGGAUUGGAGUCUGCAACUCGACUCCAUGAAGCUGGAAUCGCUAGUAAUGACGUGUCAGCAACAACGUCGUGAAUACGUUCCCGGGCCUUGUACACACCGCUAGUC